GUGAGGAAUAUUGGUCAAUGGGCGGGAGCCUGAACCAGCCAAGUCGCGUGAAGGAAGAAGGAUCUAUGGUUCGUAAACUUCUUUUGCAGGGGAAUAAAGUGCAGGACGUGUCCUGUUUUGUAUGUACCCUGAGAAUAAGGAUCGGCUAACUCCGUGCCGGCAGCCGCGGUAAUACGGAGGAUCCGAGCGUUAUCCGGAUUUAUUGGGUUUAAAGGGUGCGUAGGUGGUUUGAUAAGUCAGCGGUGAAAGUUUGCAGCUUAAAUGUAAAAAUGCCGUUGAAACUGUCGGACUGGAGUGUAAAUGAGGUAGGCGGAAUGCGUGGUGUAGCGGUGAAAUGCAUAGAUAUCACGCAGAACUCCGAUUGCGAAGGCAGCUUACUGGGAUGCAACUGACACUGAUGCACGAAAGCGUGGGUAUCAAACAGGAUUAGAUACCCUGGUAGUCC
rnacentral:rRNA from 1 species